rnacentral:rRNA from 1 species
GACGAACGCUGGCGGCGUGCUUAACACAUGCAAGUCGAACGGAAAGGCCCUGCUUUUGUGGUGUGCUCGAGUGGCGAACGGGUGAGUAACACGUGAGUAACCUGCCCUUGACUUUGGGAUAACUUCAGGAAACUGGGGCUAAUACCGGAUAGGAGCUCCUGCUGCAUGGUGGGGGUUGGAAAGUUUCGGCGGUUGGGGAUGGACUCGCGGCUUAUCAGCUUGUUGGUGGGGUAGUGGCUUACCAAGGCUUUGACGGGUAGCCGGCCUGAGAGGGUGACCGGCCACAUUGGGACUGAGAGACGGCCCAGACUCCUACGGGACGCAGCAGUGGGGAAUAUUGCACAAUGGGCGGAAGCCUGAUGCAGCAACGCCGCGUGCGGGAUGACGGCCUUCGGGUUGUAAACCGCUUUCGCCUGUGACGAAGCGUGAGUGACGGUAAUGGGUAAAGAAGCACCGGCUAACUACGUG